rnacentral:rRNA from 1 species
AUUGAACGCUGGCGGCAUGCUUUACACAUGCAAGUCGAACGGUAACAGGGUGCUUGCACCGCUGACGAGUGGCGAACGGGUGAGUAAUGCGUCGGAACGUGCCGAGUAGUGGGGGAUAACGCAGCGAAAGUUGUGCUAAUACCGCAUACGUACUGAGGUAGAAAGUGGGGGACCUUCGGGCCUCACGCUAUUCGAGCGGCAGACGUCUGAUUAGCUAGUAGGUGAGGUAAGGCCUACCAAGGCAACGAUCUGUAGCUGGUCUGAGAGGAUGAUCAGCCACACUGGGACUGAGACACGGCCCAGACUCCUACGGGAGGCAGCAGUGGGGAAUUUUGGACAAUGGGGGCAACCCUGAUCCAGCCAUUCCGCGUGAGUGAAGAAGGCCUUCGGGUUGUAAAGCUCUUUCGGCAGGAACGAAACGGCGAGCUCUAACAUAGCUCGCUAAUGACGGUACCUGAAGAAGAAGCACCGGCUAACUACGUGCCAGCCGCCGCGGUAACAC